AGCAGAUUUAUCACCUUGGAAUUAGUGAAAUGUGACGUCUUCUAACUAAGUUUUUAACCCUAGUUAUUAUCCAUAAUCCUAGUUAUUUAUCCACCGUAUGUUUCAAAAAUAUUUGUUCCUUCGUUUGCCAUAUACGUGAUACUACUCCGGCCUUCUUUGUUGUCGUCGUGAGAAAGCAGAAUUCUAUUCUGCGGAACCAAACUACUCUGUCAAACAAAGGAAAAUCUUCAACGGAAGUGGACCCGAAAUGCUUGAUAUCAGUAUUCUUUCUAAUGGUAUAAACGGUGAUGUUAAUUGUUGCUAAUGGUGUUAACGGUGAUGUUAAUGGUGCUGAUACCAUGAGGUUGAUUAUGAACAUGUCGAUGAGAGGAUGAAGACCAUCUUUUUAACCCGAGGCUGAAUUGGAGAUUGAUAUUCUUGGUUUUUUAAUCUGGUAUAUAACUUCGUUACAAAGUUCAUGGUGGGAAAUGGUAAAGAAUUUCAUCCAAAUCAAGGCUGGUAAAAAGUCUACUAAAAAUGGAACAUAUUGAUCAUGAUGAAACAACCCUAGAUUUUCUUUGUACUUAAAUGUUCUGAAAGUUGAUCAUUAAUUUUUAUGGAUUACACGCCUUUGAUUGAUUAAUCCUUCUUUACCGCUACAAAUAAAAAAUAAUACAAAUCAUAAUUCAUAAAAUAGUUCGGUGCAGAAAUUGUAGAUAGGUGCUUCGUUAGUUUGCGUCGUGAUAUGAUAACGACAAAGAUUUGGGUGAUUAUCAAAGAUCUUUGAGCAAAUCAUAUGACUUACUCGGUUGCCUUAGCGAGGUUGGGAAAAAAUUCGUUGACCAAUUAUGGGGUGAGGUAAUUAGGGUUAGUUCAUAUAGUUAGGUGACGUCACAUCUCACUAAUCCGAAGGUGAUAAAUCUAGUAGUUCAAAAAUGAUCCCGCACUGCGGGAUCAAAAAUUUUGCUCAAAGCAAAGUACUCUUAGGAUUUUCUUUCAGGUUCCGAUUCAUAUCUUUUCGUGUUGCCGUAAUCUUUUCGCUUAUCUCCCAUAUUUCCCGUAACGUAUCUUAAACCCUAGAUUAUAUUCUCUGUUCGUAGGUAUUCCCAAUAGGUUUUCUCAAUCCAUAUUGAUUUUGCCUGCAUCUCAAAAAAAAACAAAAAAAAAAAAACCCUCAUCCUGGCAUUAAUUGGAUCCGGUCUAUAAAAUGGCUAAUCCGAAUCGAAAUCAACAUCAGUUUCAGUCUAACAUUUUAGGCCUAAAGAACAGACGAAAUGGCAUCUCAAAUCAAUAUCACACCACAGCAGGUACCAUCUUCAGCUACCCAGGAAAAGUUGAAGAGUUUACGAUCCCUUGACGAAGGAAAAUCAAGUGGCGUUACUGUUUGUGUUCCCAGGAAAUGGGAAGAAUUAGAUUUUGUGUUGCCAGCGUCGAUAUGAUUAUUGUCGACGAGUAGGGUGACGAGUUACAUGCCAUCAUACCCAAAAAUCUUAUCUGAAAAUUUGAUAAACAGAUUAGAGAGGGUGGUUUGUACACUAUUGAGAAAUUGCACCUGACUGCCGAAAAACCCGAGUUCAGGCCAGCAAACAGUGAAAAAAGAGGUUACUUUCGGUGGAACACCUCCUCUCCGCACUGGAUGGUUACUUCGUCUCAAUUAUCCCCCAUAAUUUCUGCUUCACUGAGUUUGAGGCACUCGAAUCGAAUCUUCUGAACAUACAUCUUACAGGACUUUGAAUCAUCAUUGGUUCAUCGAGCGGAAAUGCCAUUGCUCCUCCGAGGUUUGGUAUGAAAUAGCAUCCACGAUGAAAAGUCAAGUAGCAUCCGUAUGUAACGAUUACAUACGAGUUCCGCUAUAACUCAAAUUUGGGAAGAUGAGGAAUCCGAGCUUGGCAAAAGCAUUAGCAGACAAGAAGAGUGCAAAAUAGAGGGAUACCUAUUUGUCUUAACAGGAAGUCACCGACUGCCUUUAUGGCUUUAUGGCAACAAAUAAUGCUGGAGGGCUAGUGUGUUUUGCCGAGAACUACAAAGGGCAGUACUGAUCGCAAUUAGCAGUACUGAUCACCAAAUUUAACAACAAUAUGUCGAUAUGUAUUGUCAAGGACUUUGUUUUCAAGGUCAGGCGUCAUCCUUUCUGGCCAGAUGGAUUAAUAUCUUUCGUAAUCUUAUGCAAUGCAAUGAAAUUGACAAGCCGGGUUUAGUAGGAGAGUCAACAAUAAGAAGUCAAUAUAUGUGAUUGCAAUAAUUGCUUAAACUACAGUUCGGACCCAUAAAUACCAACACCACAACGGUACAAAAUACACAAACGGUAUUGAUCUGAUGAGAUCAAGAAACAAGUUCAGGAACUCCUAGAAUUAGGAAUCAUAGUGCCAAGUGCUUCACCUCGUGGAUCAGCGGUAUUGUUGGUACCAAAGAAAGAUGGAGGUUGGCGUAUGUGUAUUGAUUAUAGAGCAUUGAACAAGAUCACUACCAAGAAUCGUUACCCUCUACCUAGGAUAGACGACAUGAUGGAUCAGUUGGAAAAAAGCUCGAGUCUUUACGAAGUUAGAUUUCAAAUUCGGAUACCACCAGAUGAGAGUUCGAGAAGAUGACACAUGGAAAACUGCUUGCAAAACCAAAUAAGACUUGUUCGAAUGGUUGGUGAUGCCUUUUGGUUUGUGUAAUGCUCCAUCGACGUUUGUGCGUUUGAUGAAUGAUUUGUUACAACCUUUUAUAGAAGAUUUUGUGAUUUGUUUAUUUGGAUGAUAUCCUUAUAUACAACAGAACUUGGGAAGAACAUCCUGUUCAUGUUGAGAGGGUGUUUAAAGUGUUACAUGAAGGCCAGCUGAAGUUGAACGUAAAGAAGUGUGAAUUUGGGAAGAAGGAGUUAGUGUAUCUCGGAUUCAUUAUUGGUGGUGGACAACGGAAGAUUGAUCCAAAGAAGAUCGAAGUGAUCACUAAGUGGCCUAGACCUAGUACUGUAACUGAAAUCAGGAGUUUCUUAGGGGCUUGCACCUACUUGCGUAAGUUUAUCCGGCAUUUUUCGAAUAUUGCAGGACCAUUACAUGGUUUGAAGGGAGCUAAGGCAAAGUUUGAAUGGCAGCAGACCCAUGAAAAAGCUUUUUAGUUACUAAAGAGGAAGAUUUCAGAAGCACCGGUGUUGGCAUUUCCUAACUUACAACGUACUUUUGAAGUUGAGACCUACGCUUCUAACUAUGCGUUGGGAGGAGUGUUGUUACAGGAUGGUAAACCAGUGGAGUACUAUUCAGAAUUGUUCUCAGGUGCUAUUACGAACUACGCACCUUAUGACAAAGAAUUUUAUGCUUUAUAUCAAUGUAUCAAGCAUUGGCGAGUGUAUCUCUUAGGUAAAGAAGUAGUGGUACAUUCAGAUCACAAACCAUGAGAGUAUCUACAAUCACAGACGAAACUGUAACAAGCCCGACACGUGAAGUGGAUGUCUUACUUGAUGAGUUUCAACAUUAUCAUUAGGUACACGAAGGGAGUAACAAACAAGUUGGCAGAUAUGUUGUCUCGUCCUCCAGUCCGAGCAUUAAUGGUGGCCAUGGGAAUUCAUCUGAUUGUUCUUCAAGAGUAUGCAGAGUCAUACGCAUCUAUCAAAUACUUCAAGAAAGUGUUAGAAGGUGUAAAGAGUGGUUUGAAAGGUGAGUUUGAACUCCGAGAUGGAUUGUUAUACAAGGGUCAGUUACUUUGCAUUCCAGAAGCUGGAGAUUGUUUACAAUGGUUAAGAGAGGCACACACAUACCGAGUUGCUGGACACUUUGGGAUGAAUAAAACUCUUCUUAACCUUCGUCGUUAUGUCUUUUGGCCAAAGAUGCAAGAUGAUGUGGCUAAGUUGGUUAGAGGGUGUAAGUUGUGUAGCACAUUUAAACCUUCCAACAGAAAAUGCGGGUUAUAUCUACCAUUACCAGUACCAUCAAGGCCUUGGGAGAGUAUUUCUAUGGACUUUCUUGGUGGAUUACCGAAUACUAAGUCUGGUUAUGAUUACUUGUUCGUUGUGGUCGACCGAUUCAGCAAGAUGAUCGCAUUAAUUCCAUGUACGAAGACGGUAACGGGAGCCGGUGCA